rnacentral:rRNA from 1 species
GAAUGGCAUCACGAAGAUUAUACUGUCUCCUUUUUCCAAUCAGUGAAACUAAUCUCCCCGUGAAGAAGCGGGGAUACACAUAUAAGACGAGAAGACCCUAUGGAGCUUUAAGUAAAACAACAUUUGCCAUUACACAUCUUAAUUUAAGAAAAUUAACCUAUACUAUAGCAUUUUGAUUGUUAGCUUUAGGUUGGGGUGACCGCGGAGUAAAAAAGAACCUCCACAUUGAAAGGGGGUAAUCCCCUAAACAAAAAGUUACAACUUUAUGUAUCAACAUAUUGACAUCAAUUGACCCAAAAAUUUUGAUCAACGAAACAAGUUACCCUAGGGAUAACAGCGCAAUCUGCUUCGAGAGCCCAUAUCGACAAGCAG